rnacentral:rRNA from 1 species
AUGAACGCUGGCGGCGUGCCUAAUACAUACAAGUCGAGCGAACGGACGAGAAGCUUGCUUCUCUGAUGUUAGCGGCGGACGGGUGAGUAACACGUGGAUAACCUACCUAUAAGACUGGGAUAACUUCGGGAAACCGGAGCUAAUACCGGAUGAUAUUUUGAACCGCAUGGUUCAAAAGUGAAAGACGGUCUUGCUGUCACUUAUAGAUGGAUCCGCGCUGCAUUAGCUAGUUGGUAAGGUAACGGCUUACCAAGGCAACGAUGCAUAGCCGACCUGAGAGGGUGAUCGGCCACACUGGAACUGAGACACGGUCCAGACUCCUACGGGAGGCAGCAGUAGGGAAUCUUCCGCAAUGGGCGAAAGCUUGACGGAGCAACGCCGCGUGAGUGAUGAAGGUCUUCGGAUCGUAAAACUCUGUUAUUAGGGAAGAACAUAUGUGUAAGUAACUGUGCACAUCUUGACGGUACCUAAUCAGAAAGCCACGGCUAACUACGUG